rnacentral:lncRNA from 1 species
AGGACUAGUCAUUCAAAUGGACUAAAGGUGGGGGAGAAAAAAUAAGAGUGGAUAAAAGAAAGAAAGAAAACAGAGAAAGGUGGGAAAAAAAAAACAAAGGAAGGAAGAGAGAAAAGAGAAUGAGAGGAAGAGAAGGAAGGGGAAAAACAAGAUUGACUUUACAGUAUGAGAUAUACUAUUAUAUAUUGGACCCUUGGUGGGCAGUGCCUAAACAGAGACAACUACAGGUUUCUGGCUGUGGCCACUCUCUGGUGAAACUAAGGGGUUUCUGUGUGGAGGUGCCUAACAGCCACCGUCCAGUUUGGGCAUACUACUGUAAUGCAAUUUUUCUCCUCCCAUCCUUUCAUUCGUUUAUACUGGGGUGUUCUUGUGGCUUCUCAUUUUAUUCAAUGUAAUAUAAAGUAGUAUGAUGCCUCUGGCUUCCCUCUAUCACACGUCUUCUUUUCGAGUAAAGGUUUUUCAUAAAUGUGAGCGUGGAAGAAGAAACCAGUUAAAUAUGGAACUUCACACCAGGACACAAAAGGACUUCAAACUUUUAGAUUCCACAAGUAUGUGAAAAGAUGCAGUAUUUGUCUUUCUGUGCAUGGUUUACUUCACUUAUCAUCAUGUCCCUCAGGUUCAUCCACGUUGUUGCAAAUGACAGGAUUUCAUUCAUUUUUAAGACUGAAUAGUACUCCAUUAUGCAAAUAUACCAGAUUUUCAUUGUCUAUUCGUUCACUGAUGAACACGGGUUAAUCCUAUAUGUUGGCUAUUGUGAAUAAAGCUGCAAUGAAUAUGAGAGUACAGAUA